UACGAAGGGGGCUAGCGUUGCUCGGAAUCACUGGGCGUAAAGGGUGCGUAGGCGGGUUUUUAAGUCAGUGGUGAAAUCCUGGAGCUCAACUCCAGAACUGCCUUUGAUACUGAAGAUCUUGAGUCCGGGAGAGGUGAGUGGAACUGCGAGUGUAGAGGUGAAAUUCGUAGAUAUUCGCAAGAACACCAGUGGCGAAGGCGGCUCACUGGCCCGGUACUGACGCUGAGGCGCGAAAGCUAGGGGAGCAAACGGG
rnacentral:rRNA from 1 species